rnacentral:rRNA from 1 species
GACGAACGCUGGCGGCGUGCUUAACACAUGCAAGUCGAACGGAAAGGCCUGCUUUCCCUUGUGGAUUGCGGGUACUCGAGUGGCGAACGGGUGAGUAACACGUGAGUGAUCUGCCCCCAACUUGGGUAUAAGCCUGGGAAACUGGGUCUAAUUCCCGAUAGGACUGCAGGGUGGUGCCUGUGGUGGAAAACGAUUUUCUAGUGGUUGGGGAUGAGCUCGCGGCCUAUCAGCUUGUUGGUGGGGUAAUGGCCUACCAAGGCGGCGACGGGUAGCCGGCCUGAGAGGGUGGACGGCCACAGUGGGACUGAGAUACGGCCCAGACUCCUACGGGAGGCAGCAGUGGGGAAUAUGGCACAAUGGGCGGAAGCCUGAUGCAGCGACGCCGCGUGGGGGAUGACGGCCUUCGGGUUGUAAACUCCUUUCGACCGCGAGGAAGCCACCUGGUUGGAAGGGUGGUGACGGUAGUGGUAGAAGAAGCACCGGCUAACUACGUG